rnacentral:rRNA from 1 species
GUUUACCAAAAACAUGGCUUCAUGUUAAACCUAAAAUAUGAAGUCGGACCUGCCCAGUGAGUUUUAAACGGCCGCGGUACUCUGACCGUGCAAAGGUAGCAUAAUCAUUUGCCUUAUAAUUGAAGGCUGGAAUGAAUGGUUUGACAAGAAUAUAACUGUCUCUCUAUGACUACUUAGAAUUUUAUUUUUGGAUGAAAAAGUCCAGAUUAAAUUAAAAGACAAGAAGACCCUAUCGAGCUUUAGAGAAAUUAGAGGAUUUAAAUUAAUUAAUAUUUUAUAAAAAAUAGACUUCUAUAAACAUUGGUUGGGGCAACCUGGGAGUAUAUAAAGCCUCCUUUAAUUGUAUAAGUCUUACAAGUAUUGAUCCAAACUUUUUGAUCAAAGGAAUUAGUUACCGUAGGGAUAACAGCAUUAUCUUUUUUGAGAGCCCAUAUCGAAAAAAAGGUUUGUGACCUCGAUGUUGGACCAGAAUGUCCUGAAGAUGCAGAAGUCUUCAAGGGUUGGUCUGUUCGACCAUUAAAAUUCUACGUGAUCUGAGUUCAGACCGG